rnacentral:rRNA from 1 species
AAAUGACUCUCGGCAACGGAUAUCCCGGCUCUUGCAUCGAUGAAGAACGUAGCGAAAUGCGAUACUUGGUGUGAAUUGCAGAAUCCCGUGAACCAUUGAGUCUUUGAACGCAAGUUGCGCCCGAAGCCUAGGUUGAGGGCACGUCUGCCUGGGUGUCACGC